UAACCAGAAAGCCACGGCUAAUUACGUGCCAGCAGCCGCGGUAAUACGUAGGUGGCAAGCGUUGUCCGGAAUUAUUGGGCGUAAAGGGCUCGCAGGCGGUUUCUUAAGUCUGAUGUGAAAGCCCCCGGCUCAACCGGGGAGGGUCAUUGGAAACUGGGAAACUUGAGUGCAGAAGAGGAGAGUGGAAUUCCACGUGUAGCGGUGAAAUGCGUAGAGAUGUGGAGGAACACCAGUGGCGAAGGCGACUCUCUGGUCUGUAACUGACGCUGAGGAGCGAAAGCGUGGGGAUCGAACAAUUUUAGAUACCCUGGUAGUCCACGCCGUAAACGAUUUUUUACUGUUAGGGGGUUUCCGCCCCUUAGUGCUGCAGCUAACGCAUAAGCA
rnacentral:rRNA from 1 species